AACGUCACGGUAACGGGAUAUUAACCCGCUACUUUUCCUCCCUACUGAAAGUGCUUUACAACCCGCAGGCCUUCUUCACACACGCGGCAUUGCUGCAUCAGGCUUUCGCCCAUUGUGCAAUAUUCCCCAC
rnacentral:rRNA from 1 species